CUAGUGGUCCUAUGUUGUUUACUUUAAAAAAUAAAAAUGAAAAUGAAUAAUUGGUAGAGAGGAGAUGAAGAAGGGUUUGGGAAGGAAGCCAGGAAGCAACAAGUCAACGUCGGUGGCUGUAAGAAAAGGCUAGAAAUCCACCAUUAAAACUCUCUCAAAAUAUACAUAUGACUAAGAUGAGUGUAGAAUCUCAAGGGAUUUCCAUGCAUGGCUCUUCGUCUUCACAAAUACAAAAACCCUAUGAAUAUGUUAGUGCUUUUGUGUUUCAAACUGGGCUUAACCGGUUUUAUGUAUUUUGGUUUGAGAGGUUGAAGCUGCCAGCGUGAUCUGGUCAUCUAGCAGCUUCAAUCACUCACCAACAAUACUAUAACUUUGCACUCAACAUCUGAUCAUGGAUUGGUCCCCCCUUGCAUUUCUUGAAUUCUUCAGCAGAGGUAAUUUCUACUUUAUCCUUUAAUAAUUAUUCCACUUAUUCAAUUAAACCAUGUAUAUGAUUUGAACCUCAGUAGUAGUCUGGUAUAUAAUCUUGAAAUUCUUUUUGCAAAUUGCCACAUGCAUACAAGAAGGGACUUGCUGAUUUCAAUUAAACCUGGAUAAAAGUGGCACCAAAAUGUGUAUGAUCCAAGGCAGCUGGCUAAUUUCCUCCCAUUAUUUUCAGAAAUUUAAACCCCCAACCUAUUUCUUAAUUUCAGUCUUUUCUUCCAAAUAAAUAAGCAUAUACUGGCUUGAGCUACUCGGGGCCUUUUAAUAUGACCAUAGAUCUUAACAAAUAUAUAUUUUCCAUCUCUUUCAAGCUGAAGAAAUCAAGACGGAUAUAUAAGUUGUCUGCAAGUUCCGAAACACGAGAAAGGCGUGCUAUUAGUCAAUUAUAAACAUUAGAUUAAGUUUAUAUAUGCUGAAUAUUUACUGGUGGUGUAAAUUCUGUCAUCUUCACAAAAUAUAUGAUAUCUAUGUAUAACCAGUGCAGUAAAAGUUAAUCUCACAUUUUACUGCAAGAUUUUAGAAGUAUGAUUCUCACUGUGGUUCAAGCGUAACCGAAGGCACAGGUCAUGAUAUUCUUUAUCAAAAUUUUCAUCGUCGACGUGAUGCAAUGAAACUUAUGGUUGACCGCCUAGCUAGAAGGAGAUCAUGUGGGGGAUGUCAAGAUCGAAGCACUGACCCAACGUGGUAUGAAUAUAAAUAAAGGAAGCUAGCAGCACGCACAAAGAUGUGACAUGAAUAUAACUAUAUCAGCUGUAGUAUAGUAGUAAUUUUUCUGAUGGUUGACAUUAUAUAUCUCUUGUUAUUAUUGCACAUGGAUGCAUUUAAUUAAAUUUACUUUAAAUAAUUUGCUGAA